UACGAAGGGGGCUAGCGUUGCUCGGAAUUACUGGGCGUAAAGGGCGCGUAGGCGGCACUGUUAGUCAGGCGUGAAAGUCCUGGGCUCAACCUGGGAACUGCGCUUGAUACGGCAGAGCUAGAGGAUGGAAGAGGGUCGCGGAAUUCCCAGUGUAGAGGUGAAAUUCGUAGAUAUUCGCAAGAACACCAGUGGCGAAGGCGGCUCACUGGCCCGGUACUGACGCUGAGGUGCGAAAGCUAGGGGAGCGAAUGGG
rnacentral:rRNA from 1 species